rnacentral:rRNA from 1 species
UGCCAGCCGCCGCGGUAAGACGAGGGGUCCAAGCGUUGUUCGGAAUCAUUGGGCGUAAAGCGGGUGUAGGCGGCCCUAUAAGUCAGAGGUGAAAGCCCCAGGCUCAACCUGGGAAGUGCUUUUGAUACUGUAGGGCUUGAGUCCUGGAGAGGUUAGUAGAAUUCCUGGUGUAGAGGUGAAAUUCGUAGAUAUCAGGAGGAAUACCGGAUGGGAAGCCGGCUAACUGGCCAGACACUGACGCUCAGACCCGAAAGCGUGGGGAGCAAACAGGAUUAGAUA